rnacentral:rRNA from 1 species
UUGGGAAACUGAGGCUAAAACCGCAUAUGCUACGAAUUCUGGAAUGAAUUGUAGCUCAAAAAGUCCGCGAAUUGUAGCGGGUACUGCUCUGCGAUGAGACUGCGUCUGAUCAGGCAGAUGGCGGGGUAACGGCCCACCAUACCGUUGACCAGUAGGGGAUAUGAGAGUAAGAGCCCCGAGAAGGGCACUGAGACAAGGGCCCUAGCGCUACGGCGUGCAGCAGGCGCGCAAACUCCACAAUGCACAUACGUGUGAUGGGGGGAGUCUGAGUGGUGCACUUCGGUGCACCUUUUGCUAAGUCCAAAAAGCUUGGCGAAUAAGUGCUGGGUAAGACCGGUGGCAGCCGCCACGGUAAUACCGGCGGCACAAGUGGUGUUCACUAUUAUUGGCUUAAAGCGUCAGUAGCCGGCUGAAACCGUCUUAUGUGAAAUAUUGGUGCCUGACAUCAAUGCGUGCAUAAGAUACCUUUCAGCUAGGGGAUGGGAGAGGUCAGGAGUAUUCAUGGGGUAAGGGUAAAAUCUUGUAAUCCUAUGAAGACUACCGGUGGCGAAGGCGCCUGACCAGAACACAUCCGACGGUGAGUGACGAAGGCUAGGAGAACGAAUCGGAUUAGAUACCCGAGUAGCCCUAGCAGUAAAUUAUGCAGACUUUGGUGUUGCGCCUAUCACGAAUAGGUGCAGUACCGUAGGAUAACUGUUAAGUCUGCCGCCUGGGGAGUACGGCCGCAAGGUUGAAACUUAAAGCAAUUGGCGGGGGAGCACAACAAGGGGUGGAUGCUACAGUUUAAUUGAAUUCAACGUCGGGAGCUUUACCUGGAGCGACGGCAGGAUGAAGGUCACGCCAAAGACCUUACCUAACGAGCCGAGAGGUGGUGCAUGUCGAUCGCAACUCGUGGUGUGAACUAUCCGGGUGAGUCCGGUAGCGAGCGAGACCCUCGAUGACAGCUUGCACUGGUUUAGCGAUAAUCAGGCACUCUGUCGAUACU